CAAUAGCGUAUAUUAAAGUUGUUGCAGUUAAAAAGCUCGUAGUUGGAUUUCUGGGAGAGUGCCAAUGUCCGCCGAAGUGCGUGCGCAGCGGCGCUCUUUCAUCCUUCUGUUAACGGCUCUCGGCAUUCAUUUGCUGGUGUCGGGCUCAGAUAUUUUACCUUGAGAAAAUUAGAGUGUUUCAGGCAGGCUAGGCCGGAAUACAUUAGCAUGGAAUAAUGGAAUAGGACUACGGUCUCUUUGUUGGUUUGAGGGACUGCAGUAAUGAUUAAUAGGGAUAGUUGGGGGCAUUAGUAUUUAAUUGUCAGAGGUGGAAUUCUCGGAUUUAUGGAAGAUGAACUACUGCGAAAGCAUUUACCAAGGAUGUUUUCAUUAAUCAAGAACGAAAGUUAGGGGAUCGAAGAUGAUUAGAUACCGU
rnacentral:rRNA from 1 species